GUUUUAUAAGGGGCUUUCCCCCUUUUGCUUGGCACUUCUCUUUCCUGCUGCCAUGUGAAGAAGGAUGUAUUUGCUUCUCCUUCUGCCAUGAUCGUAAGUUUCCUGAGGCCUCCCCAGCCAUGUUGAACUGUGACUAGGAUUUAGAACCUGGACCUGGACGCCUCACUGCUUCCUGCUUCCUUAGUGCCUUGUGGCCUGGAGUCAGAAUAAUCUAGCUCAAACUUGGGAGUCAAAUGCUCCAGGGUCUUGAACUGGUCAGAGCUCUCAAUGCCGCAAAGACACUUUCAGAAGAGGAACGAAGGCCUGGAAGGAAAAGCAUCAGGGGAACGACGCUUACGUCUCUCCUCCUCCCUCCGGUCUCCCACCAGUGCUCCCAUUGGCUGAAGCCAACCAGAAGCCACAGGAAGCCCACUGUCUGUUCAGAUUUCUGACCCUUGGAAAACUGCAGAGCUCAAUGAUUAAAUGAAUGGACUUUGGAGCCAGGUGACCCUGGAUUCCAAUCCUGUCUCCACCACUCCAGGCUCUGAGACCUGGGCCAGUCACUCUGCCCUUCUGGCUUUAGCGUCUCCAUUUGUAAAACAGCACAGAGUGCCAGGCAGGUCAGACUGAAUGACAGACAGAAGGGACUUAGCGUCUUCUAUGCACUGGAUUAUGUUCCCCUAAAAUUCAUAUACGGAAGCCCUAACCCCCAGUGUGAUGGGAUUUGGAGAUGGGGCCUUUGGAAGGUGCUUAUAGCUAGGUGAGGGUAUGAGGGUGGGGCCCUCAUGAUGGGAUUAGCGCCCUUAUAAGAAGAGACACCAAAGAGCUUGCACACAUGUGCUCUCUCUCUCUCUCUCUCUCUCUCUCUCACACACACACACACACACUCUCUCUCUCUCUCCCAUGCACAAAGAAGAGGUCAUGUUGGCCAGGUGCAGUGGCUCAUGCCUGUAAUCCCAGCACUUUAGGAGGCUGAGGCAGGAGGAUCGCUUGUGCCCAGGAGUUCAAGACCAGCCUGGGCAACAUAAUGAGACCUUGUCUCUACAAGAAUUGUUUACAAAAUUAGCUGGGCAUCGUGGUGCAUACCUGUAGUCCCAGCCAUUUGGGAAGCUGGGGUGGGAGGCUCACUUGAGCUCAGGAGGUCAAGGCUGCAGCAAGCUGUGACCAUGCCAUUGCACUCCAGCCUGGGUGACAGAGGAAGAC
rnacentral:lncRNA from 1 species